rnacentral:rRNA from 1 species
CCACAACCCCACCCACCUACCAAUGCACGUCCCCACUACACCCACCCACGCACACCACACAACUACUCACGCACACCACACACCACGGAACGCACACACGGAACGCACACCACACUUCCAUGGCCAGCGCGGGCUGGGAGCAGGGAGGCAGCGCGAGCAAGGCGGACUCGCGGGCGGGGAGCAGGGAGGCUGCGCGGGCAUGCCCGAGCAGGGAGGCCGCGCGGGCAGCACGCAUGGCGGACGCACGGGCGACGAGCAUGGCGGAUGCGCGGGCGGGGAGUAUGGUGCGCAGCGGCGGCUCACUCCGUGGCGGCUUCUUCCCUCGGGCGCGUCGCGGCCUCUUCCCUCGAGCGCGCGGCGGCCUCUUCCCUCGAGCAUGGCGUGUGACGGCCACUACAGAGGAGCUCCUCCCUCCGGCGUCGGCCGCCCGACGCUGCAAUGGCGUGCGGUGGUGCCCCCCUCUCUCUCUCCAGGAACCAGCGAGCGGCCGGGUGGCGGUGCGGAUACCAGGGUCGGGCGAGCGGCGCGGGCGAGCUUGGCUGUUUGGUGGCGCCGCGAGUAGGACCGGGCGAGCGGUGCGGUGAGCAGGGCAAGGUGGCGGCAGCGGUGUCCCGGCCGGCCGGCGGUGAAGUACAUGUCGCUGUGAUGGAGGACUUGAUUGCUUUUCCUUUUUAGUUUCUAGGGGUCCUUGUGUAAAUUUCCAGGACAGAUGUGUAACUUCUCUGUAAUUCCACCGAUGAUGAAUGCAAGAUAGCACGGCCGUGUCAAAUCUAAAAUCUCCGUGA